CGCCGAAGAGCAGAAGUCUCACAGGGGCGGGGGAGGGAGGAGGAGAGGGCAGAACAGCGCGCGCGCGCGCGCCCCGAAGCGCAAUAGAACGAGCUGGUUUAGCAAAGCAAGCAGAAUUAAUUGCCCUUGAGAAGAUCUUCACCACGGACAGAAAACUGGCCACAGCUCCUAACCUUAGUGGUAGGUCAGGGAGCCUAGCUUUCAUCUGUUGGCAUCAAACCUUUCUAUAAAAGGCAAGUUAAACCACAAGGAAAUUACUGCAGUGGCUACAAGGGGCGAGUCUUGCCUGUUCCAUACUCAGGUUUCUCCCCAAGGAGAUACAACUUGUUGCAAAGCAAAGGACAUUCCUGUCACUCACAGUCAAGAGAUUCAGAAGAUAAAAGGAUAAGAUAAUAAGGAAGAAUAAAGAGCACAUGGUGUUGUCAGAUUUGAUUGACUGGUAAGUAACCACUCCUUCAUAUA